rnacentral:lncRNA from 1 species
GAGUUGGGGGAGAGGACCAGAACCACCUGCUGGAGAAGGGGAGCUACGGGGGCCGGGCAGGGUCCAAACGCCUCACGUAGGCGGCGGCGCCACGGUCUUCGGGGUCACAGGGAAGAGAAGGGCUCUCCUCAAGCGGGUGGAAGGAGGGAGGCCUCCCGAGGGAGUGAGACUCUAGGCCACUCCCCCGCAGCAAGGCAGGAUCACCUGCGACGCGGAGAGCGGUUAGAGGGCCCUGGAGUGGAAAAGGGCAGUGGGACCUGGUAGCUUGGGUUCCCUGCAACUUGGGGUUCGACCUCCAGGCAAUGAAGUAGGGAUGGUCCUGCAAGUCAAGAUUCCAGUAGCAAGAGUGCAUCAGAUCUCUGUAAGGAAAAUAACUAACAUUGCUCAGUUCCCUGUAGAGUUGCAGGGCGCUUUAACGUUAUCUCCCUUGGUUCUCCAUCAGGUCGUAGUGGACUAAUUUUACAGGCGAAGUUAAGUGACUUACCCAAAACCUCACAGCUAAUAAACGGCAGAGCCGGCACCCAGCUGUACUGGCUUCCAAUUCUGUUAGCUUACCAGCGCAUCACAUUAUCUCCAUAAAUCCCCAUGAUUCAACUAAUAUUAGACGCCCCACAGGUAAGAUGCUUCAGAGUUAGAGGGGAGUUGAAGAUACCUUUGCCUUCAAAGAAGUAAGGAAUAAAACAAAGAUAAAACAGACAAUAAAAGACAAACCAUGAUAGGUGCCACGUGAAAAGUGGCAGAGUACUGCCGGGAAUCAAAGAACCGUGUAUAUCUGUCUUGGGGAUAAGGAAAGAAAGGCAGCAUGAAGGAGUAGGCAUUUGGGAUUGACCUUGAAGGAGACAGGGAGAGUUUUACAGCAAGCAGGGAUAGCAUGAGAAUAUAUAUGAAGGCGAAUCAGUGAAAGUUGUGUUGGGGAAAGAGCAAAGACUCCAGGGUAUGUUGAGAGGUAGAAAAGACAAAGGAGUAUGGGGCCUAAGAUACCAAAUGGAUGAAUUUAUAUUUAAUUCAGUAUUUUGAGUUUUUAUGGUUCAGAAGUUUGGGGGAAGAAAAGGAAGGUUUUUUUUUUUCUUUGUGCUAGUGAUUUAUCUGUGAGGGGAAGCAGAAAUCAGAGGUGGAAAAACGGACAGAUCUACUGUAGGCCAGGUAAAAAUGAUGAGUCUGACCUAAAGGGACAGCUAGGGGAAUUUAAAAGAGCAUAGUUGAGAGAUGAUGUGCAUGCAGUAUCUAUAGAAUUUGGCAACUGAUUGAUUAAUUGUGGGUAGGAAGAGAGAAAUCAAAGAAAGUGGAGGUUUUGAGUUUGUAGAUAAUUGCAAGAGAGAAAAGAGACAAUUACAAAGGAGAGGGAGCUACUUCUUGAGAGAUCAGUUUAGAUUUGGACAUUUUAAGAAUUCAAAGGGUUGUCAAGACAGCCAGAGAGACAUGGACACUAAUAAGUUAGAAAUAAAGGUUUUGUAAUAUGGGAAAGAGGACUGAACUAGAAAAUAGACUCAUAAAUAAUCAGCCUAGGAGUGAUAUUGCUGUGAGAUAAAAGAAGAAAACAAAGGUCAGAAUCUUGGAAAACACCCUCUUUAGAGUCUCGCUACUCAAAACGUGGUCAGUGGCCCAGCAGCACUGACAUGAGGAUGUUAGUUAGAAACUCAGAAUCUCAGGCUCCACCCCAGACCUGCUGAACCAGCAUCUUCAACUUAACAAGAACCCGAAGAGAUUUGUGUCACAUCAAAAAGUUUGAGAAGCUCUGAUCUAGGUGAGCCAAGCCAGCAAAGAAAGGGGAUGGAGCAGAAAAUGGGAGGAGAAUAGGGUAACGCAGAAUCAUCAAGACAAGGUAAAUUGGAGUUUCACAAAAACAGGGCUGGAAGGAGUGUUGCUCAACAAUAUCCAAAACCACAGAGGUUGAAAAGCACAAGGAAAGAAGGUAUGUUUGCACUUUGUGAUUAGGUAGUAGGGUCUUUGAGACCACAUUGUUCUUAUUGAAAGCCUGGGAAGAAAGAUCCCCUUUCUGGUCAAGUUUAGUCUAGGGAUCCAUCCCAUCUUCCCCAGUUCCCACGUGUAUGGGACAUGUCGAGAUAAGUAGAUAGAUUGGACAGUGGGAGAAAGUAGUUCUCUUCCAGUUGCUUCUAUUUUCUCAGCAAAGUGAGGAGCAAGAUCAUUUUGGCAGACUGCUAAUUGUCCAUCACAAUUUAGUCUCCCUUUCUCCCUGAAAACACAGACUGCUUUUCUCAGCCUCUCUUUCAGUUGCAUAUGGUCAAGUAUUAAGUUAUAGAACGUGAGCAGAUGUUAUGUCUGCCACUGUCAGGCCAAGGCGUUUACUUUGAGAGUACUUGUGCCUCUUUCAUGCAUUUUCCUUUCUGCCAGCUGGACCCUGGACACGGUGACUCUGAUUCAAUUAUGCAGAUGACCACAAACCUCUGGGGUUGGCAGAGCCACAAGAAAGAAGGUGCCUGGAUGAAGGAGAGCUACCCACUGACCUGGACACCCAAUUAUGUCAUAGGUGCUGUGAUCUAGAGACAAAAUGUUCCUUACACUGGCAGAUACUUGCAAACUAAGGGGAAUGAGCUUCCUUCUGAAUGUUUAUGAAGGAGAGGCCACUGUGUCAUCUGUCUUAGAGCUAUUGGAAUCCUGGAUCAUUGUGGGAAAUGAAAGAUACUUCGAUGGAAUCAGCAGCCAUUGAUCCAAUGCCAACUCCAAGACUGGAACGUCGCAAUGAUAGUUCCAAGGCGGAAAUUUGACGUAAUUCUUUUCGACACAGUUUUACAGGCAUCUUGCAUGUGAAUAACUCACAACUUUAAUUCAUGGAACAAAUUGAGAAAUAGUCUUUUGGGGGUUUGGUACUCCCUGGAAACAUAAGAGUGCUUUGGGCACCUCUGGUGCCUUUCCAUGCCUGCCUUCUCUGCUGUUCUUGCUACUAGUGAAUUCUAAAUCAUGGCCAAGUGAUGCCAGCACUGGAUAAUAUUGGCUCUGCCCCAUAUCUCGAGGGAAAACUCUAGGACUUGGCAUUAUAUGUGUGGGAAUCUGGCCUUGGUUGGCACUCCCAGCAUGAUAGCGGGGUUCUCCUGUCUGAAUGUACUCUGGGGUGUGCGCCACAAUUUCUGUCAUCGAAAUGGAGAUGAGAGAAUAUGCCCUUGGUGGGGACACCCCACUGGAAUUAGAGUGAAGAGAUCAAAGCUAGAGGUUCUUAAAUCAAAGAAUAUCUAAUAGCAAAGACAAAAACUUGCUUAAGGGAAAUGCAUACAAGUACUAGACCUAAUAUGAUGAAAAAUGCCAACUUCAAUAUAUUGAUGCAUGCUUAGUACACUUUCAGUCCUGCAAAGACAAAGUUUUUUGUUGUUUUUUUUUUGAGACGGAGUCUCGCUCUGUCGCCCAGGUUGGAGUGC